UGCGUAGGCGGGUUUCUAAGUCAGAGGUGAAAGCCUGGAGCUCAACUCCAGAACUGCCUUUGAUACUGGAAGUCUUGAGUAUGGCAGAGGUGAGUGGAACUGCGAGUGUAGAGGUGAAAUUCGUAGAUAUUGGGAGGAACACCAGUGGCGAAGGCGCCUUUCUGGACUGUGUCUGACGCUGAGAUGCGAAAGCCAGGGUAGCGAACG
rnacentral:rRNA from 1 species